AUACGUAGGGGCCUGACGUUGUUCGGAAUCAUUGGGCGUAAAGGGCGCGCAGGCGGCCGUCCAAGUCCGGUGUUAAAUGGUCGGGCUCAACCCGAUCAUGCGCUGGAAACUGGGCGGCUGGAGUCCCGGAGGGGAUGCCGGAAUUCCAGGUGUAGGGGUGAAAUCUGUAGAUAUCUGGAAGAACACCGAUGGCGAAGGCAGGCAUCUGGCCGGAGACUGACGCUGAGGCGCGAAGGCGCGGGGAGCGAACAGGUUUAGAUACCCUGGUAGUCCGCGCAGUAAACGAUGCGCACCAGGUGUCGGGCGGCAGCGCCCGGUACCGGAGCAAACGCGAUGAGUGCGCCGCCUGGGGAGUAUGCCCGCAAGGGUGAAACUCAAAUGAAUUGACGGGG
rnacentral:rRNA from 1 species